rnacentral:rRNA from 1 species
AGUUUGAUCCUGGCUUAGGAUGAACGCUGGCGGCGUGCUUAAUACAUGCAAGUCGAACGAAGACAUCUCGCCGAAGCUUGCUUCAUUGAGAUAUCUAGUGGCGGACGGGUGAGUAACGCGUGGGUAACCUGCCUUACGACAGGGGGAUAACAGUUAGAAAUGACUGCUAAUACCGCAUAAGCGCACAUUAUCGCAUGAUAGAGUGUGAAAAGAUUUAUCGGUGUAAGAUGGACCCGCGUCUGAUUAGCUAGUUGGUGAGGUAACGGCCCACCAAGGCGACGAUCAGUAGCCGGCCUGAGAGGGUGAACGGCCACAUUGGGACUGAGACACGGCCCAAACUCCUACGGGAGGCAGCAGUAGGGAAUAUUGGACAAUGGGGGAAACCCUGAUCCAAGCGACGCCGCGUGAGUGAAGAAGUAUUUCGGUACGUAAAGCUCUAUCAGCAGGGAAGAAAAUGACGGUACCUGACUAAGAAGCACCGGCUAAAUACGUGCCAGCAGCAGC